AUUGAACGCUGGCGGCAGGCCUAACACAUGCAAGUCGAGCGGAUGAAGGGAGCUUGCUCCUGGAUUCAGCGGCGGACGGGUGAGUAAUGCCUAGGAAUCUGCCUGGUAGUGGGGGAUAACGUCCGGAAACGGGCGCUCAUACCGCAUACGCCCUGAGGGAGAAAGUGGGGGAUCUUCGGACUCCACGCUAUCAGAUGAGCCUGCGUCGGAUUAGCUAGUUGGUGGGGUAAGGGCCUACCAAGGCGACGAUCCGUAACUGGUCUGAGAGGAUGAUCAGUCAAACUGGAACUGAGACACGGUCCAGACUCCUACGGGAGGCAGCAGUGGGGAAUAUUGGACAAUGGGGGCAACCCUGACCCAGCAAUGCCGCGUGUGUGAAGAAGGCCUGAGGGUUGUAAAGCACUUUCAGUGGGGAGGAGGGUUGAUAGGUUAAGAGCUGAGUAUCUGGACGUUACCAACAGAAGAAGCCCCGGCUAACUCCGUG
rnacentral:rRNA from 1 species